GCCCUCACAAGCAACUUAUAUCAGCGACUAUAUGAGUCUAUCAAUUUGUACCUGUCUCUGUUGCUUUCCGCCUGUUGGAAUCGUCGCAAUUGUGCUGUCAUGCAUGGUAAGGUUAAUUGCGACACUAUAUAUGACGUCACAUUGUAUAAUGACUUUCUGAAAAAACUUGGAUAUCGUGCAUCGAAAAGAUAAAACUGUGCAUAUACAUGUAUGUGCUAUGUCAACAUAUACUGCAGCAAAUAUAUGUCAAAUAUAUAUAUAUAUAUAAUUAUAUAUAUACAGAAAGCCAUUAUGCGAUUUGGUGUCAUGAGAAAAAUUUGCAUAUCCAUCGUUAAAUAUCUGACGAGGCAAAGUAAUCGUCAGUUCUGAAAUGCUUUGAAAUUUGAAAACCUUUAAUUGGAACCUUAAACCUUAAACUCUAAGCACGCAAAGCUUCAUGGGAGCAGAAGUUUCAAGCUUAGUGGUUGAAUAUUGCAGCUAGUUGUGAAUGAAUAGUUCUCGUAUAAGGAGAUAUUUACCAUAUGUCUCUAAGAAAUAGGCCCCAUAUAUGAUUUCUAAACUGAUUAAAUGAUGCUCCCAUUAUACUUUGCACGGUUAGAGUUUAAGGUUUAAGGUUUAGAGUUUGAGGUUUUUCAAAGGGGGAGUUAGCUGUAUAUAUGUUCAAAACUGUUGUCAAUCAAUUUGCUAUGUUAAAUAAUACAUGCAUGCGAUAUACAAUUUUCGUAUCUGCUCCACAAUGUAAAACGAUUUUUUGUUAUCAAGGUUUGUUUAAGCAGACGUGGUGGUGAUUUAGAAGGAGCAAAGAUUUUUUCAAAAUGGGCAAACUAUUUGUCAUCUUUUUCAAUCAUAUUAGGUGUAAUAACCUAUAUCGCUGUUAUAAAUCAUUUAGUCGUAAACUCAAAUAGCAGUGGUGAAAAUUAACAUUUAUGCAACAAGGGGAAAAUAUUUGUCUAUCAAGUGUUCCUGAAACAAUUACUGCACAUGUUGUAAACAGUACUUGUUAUAAAAUAUAUAUUUUGCGCAUGCGUGCAGCCAUAUAGCUUCAAAUAUACAGCAUUAGCAUAAAUUCAGUAUUGAAAAAUGGCUUUCAAGCGUUCUUAUUGGCUCCCUCAGCAGUGACUCUGAGGAAAUAGUUACUGCUCAGACUGCUCUGAGCAGUAAUUAUUGCUUUCAAAACAAAAUGGUUGCCAAAAAUCCACUUGCAAACAAAUCAUCGAAGAAAAAGUUCGGAAGAAAUUAAAGCACAUAGCCUACUAUUCCUCUGAAAGCAAAAGAAGCGACAAUAUAUGGUGUUAACCUAUUUCCGAAUAACAAAAGCACCUUUAGUCUUAGAUGCCUAAAAAAUUUAUUUAGCAAUUUAAAACCGGAAAAUAACCGAACCGGGCGACAAGAUUCCGACAGCUGGAUUCGUUUGACUCAAAAGUGGAAGAGUGAAGUAAAUUAUAUUUACAACGUUUGAAUAUAUUAUUAUUUUGCAAUACUGAAUUUAUACUAAAACCGCAAUCAGUCAACUCGGUAAUCGCAACCUGAAAUUUAUAGUAAAGGUUCUAUAUAAUAGUUAAUAUGUGAGUGUAAGUGUACUUGCCGAUUUGUAUAGAGUGCAGACAUUAGAUUCAUGAAAUUGUACAACUUAAUAAUCUGAUCAAGUACGUAUAGAGAUCUAUUCACCCUGCAGGCCGGCCAAAUAUUUUCCUAUAUGUGUAUAAUUUAUUUUAUUUUAUUUGUCAUUUUAUCUGAUCAACAGUGUAAUAGGGUCAGAUCGGCUUGGCUAUACAGGGUGGACGGUGGUCCAAUUUAAUGUUCUGGGUCAACUCUCUGUAAAUAAAUUAAUUACUAAAUAUCAUAAUAUAAUCAUCUAUAAUCUAUAUACUCUUUAAAGUUU